rnacentral:tRNA from 1 species
GGAACGGUAGUUAAGAUGGUUAUAACGCCGGCCUGUCACGUCGGAGGCCGAGGGUUCAAGUCCCUUCCGUUCCGCCA